GAAAAAGUAUGCAAGAACUGCUAAUUCAUGCUACCAUGUAUAAAAUCAUGGCUUUUUUA
rnacentral:tRNA from 1 species